rnacentral:rRNA from 1 species
CGUAGUUGAAUUUCUGGUCGUGAAACGUGGUCCGUUCCGCAAGGAAUGUGUACUGUCGAUUUAUGUCCAUCCUCGGUGUUAGUAUGCAUUACUUUAAUCGGUCGUGUAUACAACCACCGUCAUUUACUGUGAGCAAAAUAGAGUGUUCAAAGCAGGCUUAUGCCGUUGAAUAUAUUAGCAUGGAAUAAUAAGAUAUGACUUUGGUCUAUUUUGUUGGUUUUGCACUCCAAAGUAAUGA